rnacentral:rRNA from 1 species
CCCUUAGAUGUUCUGGGCCGCACGCGCGCUACACUGGUGCGUUCAACAAGUUUACAACCUUGAUUGACAAGUCUGGGUAAUCUUUUGAAUGCGCACCGUGCUAGGGAUAGAUUAUUGCAAUUAUUAAUCUUGAACGAGGAAUUCCUAGUAAACGCAAGUCAUCAGCUUGCAUUGAUUACGUCCCUGCCCUUUGUACACACCGCCCGUCGCACCUACUGAUUGAAUGACUCGGUGAAAAAUUGGGACCGUGAGAACAAUUGAUUCAUUUCAAAUGUACUCGUGGGAACUUUUUUUAACCUCGCCAUUUAGAAGAAGGUGAAGUCGUAACA